GCCCUAGUAACGGCGAGUGAAGCGGCAAGAGCUCAAAUUUGAAAUCUGGCUCCUUUGGAGUCCGAGUUGUAAUUUGUAGAGGGUGCUUUGGUGUCGGCUAUGGCCUAAGUUCCUUGGAACAGGACGUCACAGAGGGUGAGAACCCCGUAUGUGGCUGCUAGCCUUCACCAUGUAAAGCCCCUUCGACGAGUCGAGUUGUUUGGGAAUGCAGCUCUAAAUGGGAGGUAAAUUUCUUCUAAAGCUAAAUAUUGGCCAGAGACCGAUAGCGCACAAGUAGAGUGAUCGAAAGAUGAAAAGCACUUUGGAAAGAGAGUCAAAAAGCACGUGAAAUUGUUGAAAGGGAAGCGCUUGCAGCCAGACUUGCUCGUAGUUGCUCAUCCGAGCUUUUGCUCGGUGCACUCUUCUGCGAGCAGGCCAGCAUCAGUCCGGGCGGUUGGAUAAAGGCUCUGGGAAUGUAGCUCUCUUCGGGGAGUGUUAUAGCCCAGGGUGUCAUGCAACCAGUCUGGACUGAGGUCCGCGCAUCUGCUAGGAUGCUGGCGUAAUGGCUGUAAGCGGCCCGUCUUGAAACACGGACCAAGGAGUCUAACAUCUAUGCGAGUGUUUGGGUGUCAAGCCCGGGCGCGCAAUGAAAGUGAACGGAGGUGGGAACCCUUCGGGGCGCACCAUCGACCGAUCCUGAUGUCUUCGGAUGGAUUUGAGUAAGAGCAUAGCUGUUGGGACCCGAAAGAUGGUGAACUAUGCCUGAAUAGGGUGAAGCCAGAGGAAACUCUGGUGGAGGCUCGCAGCGGUUCUGACGUGCAAAUCGAU
rnacentral:rRNA from 1 species